UACGGAGGGUGCGAGCGUUGUCCGGAAUCAUUGGGCGUAAAGGGCGCGUAGGUGGCUUCUUAAGCGUGCGGUGAAAGCCUGGGGCUCAACCCCGGGUCGGCCGUGCGAACUGGGGGGCUGGAGCACUGUAGAGGCAGGCGGAAUUCCGGGUGUAGCGGUGGAAUGCGUAGAGAUCCGGAAGAACACCGGUGGCGAAGGCGGUUCUCUGGGCCUUACCUGACGCUGAGGAGCGAAAGCGUGGGGAGCGAACAGG
rnacentral:rRNA from 1 species